AUGGUGCUGGGGGUGGACGUGGGGCUGAGCAGGCAGCGAGCCCGGGCAGCUUGGAGCCAGGCCGUCCUUGGGGCUUGUGGACCCGUGCCCUCGAGACAAGGACGGGUGCUCCAUCGGGGCAAUGGUGGUGUCUCCUUGGGGGGGAAAAGGGCUCCCCGGCUCCCCCACGUGCCCAUGAAUUCCCCGCUGCCCUCACCGGGCAUGGGACAGGAGUCGCUGUCCCCUGGCACAGCCAGGUCCCCGUGUGCCCGCUGGGGCGAGCAGGGGGCUCUGGGCUUCUUCCCCCAUCAUCUGACAUCAUGUUACGCCCCUAAAAUGGAGCCCCUGGGCUGCAGCCUUUCCCCUGCAGCACUGGCAGAGGUUCCCCCAGCUCCAUUUUCCCCCCGUGGGGCUCCCCGAGCUGCCCAGGCACCAGCUCCCCGCUGCCCGGCCACCAAGCCCCGUGCCAGGUCCCCAGCUCCCAGCAGGGCUGGAAGCCUCCGGGCUGCCCCCGAGCCAUUCCGACCCCAAUCCGUGGUGAGACAGGGACGGGAAUUUGGGGACGAUCCCGGCUCCACGCUGGGCUCUGACCCUCGAAUUCAGAGCCCAGCGAGGCGAGACAGAGAGCCCCAUGGCAAACAGCCCUCAGGAGGUGUUUUUGUUCCAGGGAAACGUGCUUUCUGCGGGCGAGAGCAUCCAGACCUGGGGAUCGAUCUGUCCACACGUCCAGAAACUCCAUCCAGAAGCUCGGGGUGGGCCGAGCUUGCCGAGGUAAAUCAUCCUCCGAGGCAGGGCGGCUGGGAUUUCGGCAGGGUUUGGGUUUUGCCCUGCCCUGGGCCGUGCUGGAUGCGGCGCUUCCCUCCCGAGAAGGGAGCCCGUGCAGCACUGCCAGGUGGCCAGAAAAUGUGCUCCGGCCCCAAAGCUGGCUGCCUGUCAGCGCCGGAUGAAUUAUCCGCGAAAACCUCUCGCGGCUCGCGCAAAACAAGGUAAUUAUUCAGCAGGCCGGGGACACGGAGGGAGCCAGGAUGUGGAAAUAUUAUCUGUGAGCGAUUCGCAGGGAACCACAGGCGGAGUCAGGGGGCAGCAGCUGGAUGCAAUAAGAGCAGAGCAGUCUGUUGGCCUCCAGGAGACGGUGAGCGAGAAGCUGCUGGCGAGGCGAUCCUGGCAAACCACGGAGGCAGGGCCUUUCUAAACGACUCUUCUUACCCUUCCUUCGGUAGCAGCCUCACAAACACUCGUCCUUAGCCAAAUGCUUCUCCCUUGGCUGCCGUGGCUGCUCUGGCAGGUUUGUUGCUCACAUUCUCAAACGAACCGUUCCCUUUCCGCAGCUCCAGAGACUUGCAACCCCCGACUUCUUUUUUUUUUUUUUUUUUUCUCGGAGGUUUUCACUUCUUGCAACAAGCUGCUCGUGGCGUUUACGUUUUCCAGGUGCGCUGUCAGACCCCGGGGAGCCGGGCGGCCCCGGUUCCUCCACCUCCGCCCCGUUUCCCUCAGAAACCCUCCGAGCAUCCCAGCCCCUGGGCGACGCGGAGGGUUUUUGUUUGAAGCUCCCCGGCCGCCUCUGCCGAGCUCCGCUCUGCCUUCUGCUUCCACCGCCUGCUAUUUCCCCAUCACCGCCGCGCAUCCAGCGCAACGCAACGAAUUUCAUGAAAUUAAGUAUUUCUCCUACACACGGCAUAUUUGCCCGGUGAUUAUAACUAGUCCCCGAGGUAGCCAAGCACAGCAGAAUUUCAGUUUAAUAUGCACACCCACGCAGCCUCGCUAAAAACCCAAGGCACUCCCCCGGUCCUGCUCGGGAAGCGCUGAGCGCCGCGGUGAGCAGCUCGGGUUUCAGCUCCACCACUUGCACAAGCUAGGACUGGGAAUAGUCUGUAAUCUGCUGUGAGGAGGGGGG